rnacentral:rRNA from 1 species
GACGAACGCUGGCGGCGUGCCUAAUACAUGCAAGUCGAACGCAGUGGGGACGGGUGAGUAACACGUGGGUAACCUCCCAUCAGAGGGGAUAACCCUUGGAAACAGGUGCUAAACUGAUACUGUUGGAUGGACCCGCGGUGCAUUAGCUAGUUGGUGAGGUAACGGCUCACCAAGGCCAAGAUGCAUAGCCGACCUGAGAGGAUGAUCGGCCACACUGGGACUGAGACACGGCCCAGACUCCGACGGGAGGCAGCAGUAGGGAAUCUUCGGCAAUGUGCGAAAGUCUGACCGAGCAACGCCGCGUUAGGGAAGAAGGUUUUCGGAUCGUAAAACUCUGUUGUUAGAGAGGCGGUAUCUAACCAGGAAGCCACGGCUAACUACGUGCCAGCAGCCGCGGUAAUUC